rnacentral:rRNA from 1 species
AAUAGAUACCCCGGUAGUCCACGCCGUAAACGAUGAGUGCUAAGUGUUAGGGGGUUUCCGCCCCUUAGUGCUGCAGCUAACGCAUUAAGCACUCCGCCUGGGGAGUACGGUCGCAAGACUGAAACUCAAAGGAAUUGACGGGGGCCCGCACAAGCGGUGGAGCAUGUGGUUUAAUUCGAAGCAACGCGAAGAACCUUACCAGGUCUUGACAUCCCAUUGACCGCUAUGGAGACAUAGCUUUCCCUUCGGGGACAGUGGUGACAGGUGGUGCAUGGUUGUCGUCAGCUCGUGUCGUGAGAUGUUGGGUUAAGUCCCGCAACGAGCGCAACCCUUGUUCUUAGUUGCCAUCAUUUAGUUGGGCACUCUAAGGAGACUGCCGGUGACAAACCGGAGGAAGGUGGGGAUGACGUCAAAUCAUCAUGCCCCUUAUGACCUGGGCUACACACGUGCUACAAUGGACGGUACAAACGGUUGCCAACCCGCGAGGGGGAGCUAAUCCGAUAAAACCGUUCUCAGUUCGGAUUGUAGGCUGCAACUCGCCUAC